rfam:Ricinus communis cultivar Hale ctg_1100012361877, whole genome shotgun sequence.
GUAUCCAUGGUGUGGACAUUGCAAUAAAAGUUAUUUAAAGCAAUCUCAUACUUCUUGAAAGGACUCAAUAUCCUUUUGAUAAAAGGUAGAUAUUUCAGCCCUUAAUUC